rnacentral:tRNA from 1 species
GCCAGUGUGGCUCAGUGGUUAGAGCGCCGACCUACGAACCAGGAGGACAGGGUUCGAUUCCCAGGUCAAGGGCA